rnacentral:lncRNA from 1 species
AUUAGCUUCAUUGAGACACAACUCCCUUCUUUAAAGCAUGUAAUUCAGUGGCUUUGAGUCUAUUCACAGGGGUACACAUCUGUCACCACAGUCAAUUUUAAAUAUUUUCAUUUCUUAACAAGACACCCUGUACCUCGGGCAUGUAUGAGUACUUACAGCUUUUUAUUGCUGGCUUGGCACCUCUCACCUCCCUUGGGACCCUGUCUUCACAGCCCAUGCAGUGGUGACUUCGACGGCCAGGUGUGGAGCCUGGGGGCCGGCUGCUGGCCCAGGACUUUGCCCACCGCCCGUUCUCGCCCAGUUUGGGGCCCAUUCCUUGUGUGUAGCGCUGAGCCAGACGUCCCUGGUCUUCUACCCCCGCCUGCAGGCAUGUCUGCUGGCAUCCUGGCACCAAUGGCAAUGAGGCAGCCAGUGAGCUGAUGCUGCCGGAUGGCACCACGGCCCACAGCCUGGAGGAGUUUGCCCGCGCCUGGCCAUCACCAGGACUAGUAGCUGAGGGCAGAGAUUGCCCCCUGCAUGCCAUCUCUGCACAUGGUGCUCAGACCUGAGGGGUAGUCAACCGCCCUGGAACCUGAUGCACCUGUUCUACAUGCCCAGGAGAAGAGAGGUCCGCGGGGGUGGGGGGUGGGGGGUGGGGGGGGAGUUUGUCUCACGAGGUGGAUGGUGACUGUAAGACCAGGGAGAAGGCUCAGGAGUGCCCAGAACAGAGCCCCACCGGCCGGGCCUUCUUCCAGGACUGCCAUUCCUGCCUGGGAGACUGCUGCAGGGGUGAAUGUGAGGCUGUGUGUGGACCCAAGCAGCAGGGGGACCAGAAGGCAAAAAGAACACCUGUGCCCUGAUCCAGCUUGUGUCCUUCCUCGGUGCUGCUUCCACGGGAGCAGUGGGCAAGGAGCCUGACUGUGAGUGCUGGAUUGCGGUGGACCCCUCCCCGUUUCUCAGCCUGUGCACGCAGGACCCCUGUGGCACCCAGGAGCUCGACUCUGCCUGCAACCUGGUGGCUGCCUCCAUCCACCUGUGUGCCCGCGGCUUCGUGCCCCUGGCUGCUCCUCCACUGUGUGGUAAGCUGCCCCAGCCUGCAACCAGCCUCACCCCUGCCCAACUGACCUUGCCUUGGG